rnacentral:rRNA from 1 species
CCUGACUGCUAUCGGAUUGAUACUAAGCCAUGCGAGUCAUUGUAGCAAUACAAGGCAGACGGCUCAGUAACGCGUAGUCAAUCUACCCUAUGGACGGGAAUAACCUCGGGAAACUGAGAAUAAUGCCCGAUAGAACAUUAUGCCUGGAAUGGUUUAUGUUUCAAAUGAUUUAUCGCCAUAGGAUGGGACUGCGGCCUAUCAGUUUGUUGGUGAGGUAAUGGCCCACCAAGACUAUUACAGGUACGGGCUCUGAGAGGAGUAGCCCGGAGAUGGGUACUGAGACACGGACCCAGGCCCUAUGGGGCGCAGCAGGCGAGAAAACUUUGCAAUGUGCGAAAGCACGACAAGGUUAAUCCGAGUGGUUUCUGCUAAAGAAACCUUUUGUCAGUCCUAGAAACACUAACGAAUAAGGGGUGGGCAAGUUCUGGUGUCAGCCGCCGCGGUAAAACCAGCACCUCAAGUGGUCAGGAUGAUUAUUGGGCCUAAAGCAUCCGUAGCUCGUUUUGUAAGUUUUCGGUUAAAUCCAUGCGCUUAACGUAUGGGCUGCCGGGAAUACUGCAUAACUAGGAAGUGGGAGAGGUAGACGGUACUCGGGAGGAAGGGGUAAAAUCCUUUGAUCUCUUGAUGACCACCUGUGGCGAAGGCGGUCUACCAGAACACGUUCGACGGUGAGGGAUGAAAGCUGGGGGAGCAAACCGGAUUAGAUACCCGGGUAGUCCCAGCUGUAAACUAUGCAAACUCAGUGAUGCAUUGGCUUAUGGCCAAUGCAGUGCUGCAGGGAAGCCGUUAAGUUUGCCGCCUGGGAAGUACGUACGCAAGUAUGAAACUUAAAGGAUUGGCGGGGGAGCACCACAAGGGGUGAAGCCU